UGCUAGAUUAGCAGAUGGAAUGUGUUUGAUUUAGGUUCAAAAGGAAAGGGGUUACCCUUAUUUAGUAGC
rnacentral:tRNA from 1 species